AUGCAGAGACCUACUCUUUUAGCCACCGGCUGCUGGAGACAGCCACGUAGACAAAUUGCUACCAAGUCAGCCUGUUGUAGCUGAACAGCUAUUGUAGACCCUCAUAAUCUGACUUCAUAAUGGAGACUGCCACAUUCACUGUACUGGCACUAAACAAGAAAAAAAUAAAAUCAGCUUUGGUUGCUU